AGAGAACCUGAAACCCUGUGUUUACAAACUGUGGAAGUACCAUACGAGUACAACCGCGUACUUUUUGUAGAACGGUCCGGCGAGUUACGUUUACUGGCGAGGUUAAGCACUUAAGGUGCGGAGCCGAAGGGAUACCAAGUCUUAACAGGGCGUAAAGUCAGUGUACGUAGACCCGAAACCGGGUGAUCUACCCAUGUCCAGGCUGAAGUUGCCGUAAAAGGCAAUGGAGGGCCGAACGCACAUCCGUUGAAAAGGGUGGCGAUGAGGUGUGGGUAGGGGAGAAAUUCCAAUCGAACCCGGAGAUAGCUGGUUCUCCUCGAAAUAGCUUUAGGGCUAGCCUCGUGUUAACCUUGUGGAGGUAGAGCACUGAAUAUCCUAGGGGGCGUCAAAGUCUACCGAAGAUUAUCAAACUCCGAAUGCCAUAAAGGUGAUGCACGGGAGUCAGACUGCACGAGAUAAGUUGGGUGGUCAAAAGGGAAAGAGCCCAGACCUACAGCUAAGGUCCCAAAGUGCGUGUUAAGUGGAAAAGGAUGUGGGAUUUCGAAGACAACUAGGAUGUUGGCUCAGAAGCAGCCAUACAUUCAAAGAGUGCGUAAUAGCUCACUAGUCGAGAGGUCCUGCGCCGAAAAUGUCCGGGGCUAAAACACGACACCGAAGCUUAGGACUCCAUUUAGGAGUGGUAGAGGAGCAUUGUUAGCGCAGCGAAGCUGUACCGAUAAGGAGCAGUGGAGUGCUAAGAAGAGAGAAUGCCGGAAUGAGUAGCGAGAGGAAGGUGAGAAUCCUUCCGGCCGAAUAUCCAAGGUUUCCAGAGUAAAGCUGAUCUGCUCUGGGUAAGUCGGGGCCUAAGGCGAGGUCGAAAGACGUAGUCGAUGGAUAACAGGUGGAGAUUCCUGUACUAUGUGUACCCAGAACUGUGGGGACGCAUGUGGAGAGCACGAGCCGGGAAAGAGAAAACCGGUACAAGCGGGGUAGGAGUAAGGACAGCAAAUCUUCCUUACAAUCCGAAGACGUAAUGUGGACCGAACCAAAGUAGGGAAGCGUGUGAGCCAUGUGCCAAGAAAAGCCGCUAUUGUGAUACACAUACCCGUACCGUAAACCGACACAGGUGGAUGAGGAGAGAAUCCUAAGGCCGACGGAAGAAGCAUUGUUAAGGAACUCGGCAAAAUGACCCCGUAACUUCGGGAGAAGGGGUGCCCUGUGAAAGCAGGGCCGCAGAGAAUAGGCUCAAGCAACUGUUUAGCAAAAACACAGGUCUAUGCGAAACCGAAAGGUGAGGUAUAUGGGCUGACGCCUGCCCGGUGCUGGAAGGUUAAGAGGAGAAGUCAGGCAACGAAGCUUCGAAUUUAAGCCCCAGUAAACGGCGGCCGUAACUAUAACGGUCCUAAGGUAGCGAAAUUCCUUGUCGGGUAAGUUCCGACCCGC
rnacentral:rRNA from 1 species